rnacentral:tRNA from 1 species
GGAAAUGUGGCUUAGUGGUAGAGUGCUUGCCUACCAUGCAUGAAGCCCUGGGUUUCGAUUCCUCAGUGCCA